GGUUAAGCGACUAAGCGUACACGGUGGAUGCCCUGGCAGUCAGAGGCGAUGAAGGGCGUGCUAAUCUGCGAUAAGCGCCGGUAAGGUGAUAUGAACCGUUAUAACCGGCGAUACCCGAAUGGGGAAACCCAGUGUGAUUCGUCACACUAUCAUUAACUGAAUCCAUAGGUUAAUGAGGCGAACCGGGGGAACUGAAACAUCUAAGUACCCCGAGGAAAAGAAAUCAACCGAGAUUCCCCCAGUAGCGGCGAGCGAACGGGGAGGAGCCCAGAGCCUGAAUCAGCAUGUGUGUUAGUGGAAGCGUCUGGAAAGGCGCGCGAUACAGGGUGACAGCCCCGUACACAAAAGCGCAUGUGCUGUGAGCUCGAUGAGUAGGGCGGGACACGUGGUAUCCUGUCUGAAUAUGGGGGGACCAUCCUCCAAGGCUAAAUACUCCUGACUGACCGAUAGUGAACCAGUACCGUGAGGGAAAGGCGAAAAGAACCCCGGCGAGGGGAGUGAAAAAGAACCUGAAACCGUGUACGUACAAGCAGUGGGAGCCCCACCACCAAAGCAUUCUCUGGUGUUGAAGGCCCUGCAAAGCAGCAUCGCGGUGGCGGAGCGUCGUUUGCGACGCCCAACACACAAAACAAGCGGUGAAUGCUUUGGGGUGGGGUGACUGCGUACCUUUUGUAUAAUGGGUCAGCGACUUAUAUUCUGUAGCAAGGUUAACCGAAUAGGGGAGCCGGAGGGAAACCGAGUCUUAAUUGGGCGUUAAGUUGCAGGGUAUAGACCCGAAACCCGGUGAUCUAGCCAUGGGCAGGUUGAAGGUUGGGUAACACUAACUGGAGGACCGAACCGACUAAUGUUGAAAAAUUAGCGGAUGACCUGUGGCUGGGGGUGAAAGGCCAAUCAAACCGGGAGAUAGCUGGUUCUCCCCGAAAGCUAUUUAGGUAGCGCCUCGUGAAUUCAUCUCCGGGGGUAGAGCACUGUUUCGGCUAGGGGGCCAUCCCGGCUUACCAACCCGAUGCAAACUGCGAAUACCGGAGAAUGUUAUCACGGGAGACACACGGCGGGUGCUAACGUCCGUCGUGAAGAGGGAAACAACCCAGACCGCCAGCUAAGGUCCCAAAGUCAUGGUUAAGUGGGAAACGAUGUGGGAAGGCCCAGACAGCCAGGAUGUUGGCUUAGAAGCAGCCAUCAUUUAAAGAAAGCGUAAUAGCUCACUGGUCGAGUCGGCCUGCGCGGAAGAUGUAACGGGGCUAAACCAUGCACCGAAGCUGCGGCAGCGAACGUAUCACCCAAGACAACUUUACGGAGUUGACGAUUGACGGAGCGAAGCGACGUCAAAGCGUUCAUUAAAGUCGAGUUGGCUUAGGGAUACGUUCGUUGGGUAGGGGAGCGUUCUGUAAGCCUGUGAAGGUGUGUCGUGAGGCAUGCUGGAGGUAUCAGAAGUGCGAAUGCUGACAUAAGUAACGAUAAAGCGGGUGAAAAGCCCGCUCGCCGGAAGACCAAGGGUUCCUGUCCAACGUUAAUCGGGGCAGGGUGAGUCGACCCCUAAGGCGAGGCCGAAAGGCGUAGUCGAUGGGAAACGGGUUAAUAUUCCCGUACUUGGUGUUACUGCGAAGGGGGGACGGAGAAGGCUAUGUUGGCCGGGCGACGGUUGUCCCGGUUUAAGCGUGUAGGUGUGUGUUCCAGGUAAAUCCGGUUCACUUUAACACUGAGGCGUGAUGACGAGGCACUACGGUGCUGAAGCAACAAAUGCCCUGCUUCCAGGAAAAGCCUCUAAGCAUCAGGUAACAUCAAAUCGUACCCCAAACCGACACAGGUGGUCAGGUAGAGAAUACCAAGGCGCUUGAGAGAACUCGGGUGAAGGAACUAGGCAAAAUGGUGCCGUAACUUCGGGAGAAGGCACGCUGACACGUAGGUGAAGUGAUUUACUCACGGAGCUGAAGUCAGUCGAAGAUACCAGCUGGCUGCAACUGUUUAUUAAAAACACAGCACUGUGCAAACACGAAAGUGGACGUAUACGGUGUGACGCCUGCCCGGUGCCGGAAGGUUAAUUGAUGGGGUCAGCGCAAGCGAAGCUCCUGAUCGAAGCCCCGGUAAACGGCGGCCGUAACUAUAACGGUCCUAAGGUAGCGAAAUUCCUUGUCGGGUAAGUUCCGACCUGCACGAAUGGCGUAAUGAUGGCCAGGCUGUCUCCACCCGAGACUCAGUGAAAUUGAACUCGCUGUGAAGAUGCAGUGUACCCGCGGCAAGACGGAAAGACCCCGUGAACCUUUACUAUAGCUUGACACUGAACAUUGAGCCUUGAUGUGUAGGAUAGGUGGGAGGCUUUGAAGUGUGGACGCCAGUCUGCAUGGAGCCGACCUUGAAAUACCACCCUUUAAUGUUUGAUGUUCUAACGUGGACCCGUAAUCCGGGUUGCGGACAGUGUCUGGUGGGUAGUUUGACUGGGGCGGUCUCCUCCUAAAGAGUAACGGAGGAGCACGAAGGUUGGCUAAUCCUGGUCGGACAUCAGGAGGUUAGUGCAAUGGCAUAAGCCAGCUUGACUGCGAGCGUGACGGCGCGAGCAGGUGCGAAAGCAGGUCAUAGUGAUCCGGUGGUUCUGAAUGGAAGGGCCAUCGCUCAACGGAUAAAAGGUACUCCGGGGAUAACAGGCUGAUACCGCCCAAGAGUUCAUAUCGACGGCGGUGUUUGGCACCUCGAUGUCGGCUCAUCACAUCCUGGGGCUGAAGUAGGUCCCAAGGGUAUGGCUGUUCGCCAUUUAAAGUGGUACGCGAGCUGGGUUUAGAACGUCGUGAGACAGUUCGGUCCCUAUCUGCCGUGGGCGCUGGAGAACUGAGGGGGGCUGCUCCUAGUACGAGAGGACCGGAGUGGACGCAUCACUGGUGUUCGGGUUGUCAUGCCAAUGGCACUGCCCGGUAGCUAAAUGCGGAAGAGAUAAGUGCUGAAAGCAUCUAAGCACGAAACUUGCCCCGAGAUGAGUUCUCCCUGAGACUUAGAGUCUCCUGAAGGAACGUUGAAGACGACGACGUUGAUAGGCCGGGUGUGUAAGCGCAGCGAUGCGUUGAGCUAACCGGUACUAAUGAACCGUGAGGCUUAACCUUACAACGCCGAAGAUGUUUUG
rnacentral:rRNA from 1 species